ACUCCUACGGGAGGCAGCAGUAGGGAAUAUUGCGCAAUGGGGGAAACCCUGACGCAGCAACACCACGUGAGUGAGGAAGGCCUUCGGGUUGUAAAACUCUGUCCUAGGGGAAAAACGGCAUUAUCGCUAAUAUCGGUAGUGUGUGAUGGUACCCUUGAAGAAAGCACCGGCUAACUUCGUGCCAGCAGCCGCGGUAAUACGAAGGGUGCAAGCGUUGUUCGGAUUUAUUGGGCGUAAAGCGCGCGCAGGCGGAUUAGUAAGUCAGGUGUGAAAUCUCGGGGCUCAACUCCGAAACUGCGCCUGAAACUAUUAAUCUAGAGUUAUCUAGGGGGAAGGGGAAUUUCACGUGUAGGGGUAAAAUCCGUAGAGAUGUGAAGGAACACCUGAGGCGAAGGCGCCUUCCUGGGGAUACACUGACGCUGAGGCGCGAAAGCGUGGGGAGCAAACAGGAUUAGAUACCCUGGUAGGAUAG
rnacentral:rRNA from 1 species